rnacentral:rRNA from 1 species
AACGAACGCUGGCGGCAGGCCUAACACAUGCAAGUCGAACGCCGUAGCAAUACGGAGUGGCAGACGGGUGAGUAACACGUGGGAACGUACCCUUCGGUUCGGGAUAACUCAGGGAAACUUGAGCUAAUACCGGAUACGUCCGAGAGGAGAAAGAUUUAUUGCCGAGGGAUCGGCCCGCGUCUGAUUAGCUUGUUGGUGAGGUAACGGCUCACCAAGGCGACGAUCAGUAGCUGGUCNGAGAGGAUGAUCAGCCACAUUGGGACUGAGACACGGCCCAAACUCCUACGGGAGGCAGCAGGUGGGGAAUAUUGGACAAGUGGGCGCAAGCCUGAUCCAGCCAUGCCGCGUGAGUGAUGAAGGCCC